CAUGUCUGUUUGUCUCUUUAUGUCUUCAAGACAGUUUGCUGCUUAAACCAUCCAUCAACGUAAUAUGGAGUGAGUUGAUCUUGGAGCUAUAUGCACAAGACCAAAUUUUCAGAUUCAGUCCCAGCUGAAUUGUAAUUUAAAAAAACAAAACAUUAUUUGCAUCAAAAGCACCCCACAAGCUAACCCUGUCGCUCCAGGAGUAACAUUAACUCUUGCCAAGGUCUAACAUG